rnacentral:lncRNA from 1 species
GUUCUAAACUUGUAAAGUAAGACAAUGCAAAGUUGGAAACUUGAGUGGGUCUUCGAGAUUUUUUUGUGAAAACUAUUGUUAAGGAAAUUUGAGUGGGUCUUUGAGAUUUAUUGUGAAAACUAUUGUUAAGGAUAUUAUACAAUAAAAUUAAAUAAUAAAAAAUCACCAUUAAGGAAAUUAGACAACAAGCUCCAACAAUUUUUUAGCCGAACAUUUUAUUGACGUUGUAACAUCCUUCUAAUGAACGCAGAACAUUUUUCUUGUGAAACCAGAACUUAUUUUAUGUAGAGGAUACAUAAAUUUCGUAAACCCCAUGGAGAUGUACGCUUACAUUUUAUGAUACAAAGACAUCGCUUAUACAAUUGAGAUCAAUCUCAUCCAACGACUUCUUUUUGAUACAUAGAAUCGUCAAACCAUUAACCUCUCUUGAGUCAUUGUUGACCUUAAAUAGUUCACAAAAAUAUUUCAAUUUUAAAAAGCUUCUCUCUGUCGAUGUAAUCAUCAUGUGUAUAGUAAAUAAUACUCACUCUGUAUCAAAAUAGAAUUCGUUUUGCUUCUCUAAUGGAUUCAUCAUCAUUUGUUGAAUAUAGACAUAAAAAUGAAGAACUAAAACAAAUAUUGUUUUAGAACAGAGGGAGUAUUCGAUAGGUAAUUGAGAUAUUAGUUUAACAAUCUAAACGAAGUUGAUUGAUAGUGCGUCGCUCUUUGUAUAUUUAUAUCUAGGGUAAAUAGGUUUAACGGGAAAAGGUACUAGCGUAUAGUAGAUAGGUGUCCCUCUGUCCUUGGGUGCCGGGUCUGUCUAUUUACUACACCUCGUUGAAUACUUAAAAAAAACGUGUCAUCUAGAGCGCUUGUGCGAAAUAGAAAGUCGAAAUAAAAAGAGCAUAGGAGCGCGUCUAUUAACAACAUCCGAUAAUUUGACAGCAAGGAGGUCUCCCCUGUACGCCAGGAUCUGCAAUGGAGACAGUGAAAAAUAGCCGGCCAAGAGCAUAACAUAAGCAGUGAUUAUACUGGUGUAAAUGGAGUGUGGUGGGCUACUUACUAUUGGGAUCGUUGGUAACCCCAUAAAUCAAUAAUGACAUGACCAAGAUCAGAAGAGGCAGCAGCCGCCGAGUCAGGAAACCGUAACCGUAUCUUUGCAUGUUUCCUUGUAGGCGCCGAGAGCUAGGGAUGACUAUGCUACGCCUAAAAUCAUAAAGAUUCCAGAGCCUAUUAAUAGCCGUUGCCCCGGCUGCUGCAACUGAACCCUUGACCCGGGAGGUUGUGAGAAAUCUGAUCCAGGUAGGAGGAUUAGUCUUUUACCGUGCAUUGUGUGUAAGUUUGACGAGUCUCCUUUGUGGUCUUAUCUCAGCUUUCAACUUCCUGAGCAUGGAUUUC